GCCAAGCGUGGUAGCGCAUGCCUGUAGUCCCAGCUACUCAGGAGGCUGAGAUGGGGGUAUCGCUUGAGCCCAGGAUGUCAAGGCUGUUGUGAGCUAUGAUUGCACCACUACAAUCUGGGCUGGGCAACAGAGUGAGACCCUGUCUCAU
rnacentral:SRP_RNA from 2 species